rnacentral:rRNA from 1 species
GACGAACGCUGGCGGCGUGCUUAACACAUGCAAGUCGAACGGAAAGGCCCUGCUUUUGUGGGGUGCUCGAGUGGCGAACGGGUGAGUAACACGUGAGUAACCUGCCCUUGACUUUGGGAUAACUUCAGGAAACUGGGGCUAAUACCGGAUAGGAGCUCCUGCUGCAUGGUGGGGGUUGGAAAGUUUCGGCGGUUGGGGAUGGACUCGCGGCUUAUCAGCUUGUUGGUGGGGUAGUGGCUUACCAAGGCUUUGACGGGUAGCCGGCCUGAGAGGGUGACCGGCCAGCUGGGGACACAAGUGCGGCCCGGACUCGUGCGUGAGGCAGCAGGGGGGGAGAGUGGACGAGGGGCGGAGGGUUGAGGCAGGAAAGCGGCUGGGGGGAGGACGGCGGGGCGGUUGGAAAAGACGAGCGCCCGUCACGAAGCGUGAGGGAGGGCAAGGUGUAAAGAAGCAAAGCAGAACUCUGGC